GGUAUUUACAUAUUUUGGGGGAGAUUUAGAGUAUAAACUCUAAGAUCUUUGGUAUAUAAGUGUCAUCAUCGAUUUAUUUAUUUAUUGCUGAGCUGACUGUAACUGACUCAAUAACAAAUCUAAUCAUGUAUUGCACUGGAAAAGAAAUAUUCUCAUUAUGUAUUUUCUCCAAAUAAUGGCCUACCAUUGCAUUUGAAUACCUGCUGUAAAUAUCAGUAAUAUCGAGUAAUUACU
ensembl:misc_RNA